AACAAGAAACUGUCUGGUGGGAGCUGUUGUAGCCAGCAAUCCUGAGUGAACAUUUGGUAAAAAGUAUCCGAAUGGGACAGAAUUGUCUUAAACUAGCUUAGAGAUUCUAAGUGAGCAUCAGCAAGGGACAGAAGCAGCUUAAGGAAAAUCCAUGUUAUCAAUUUAUUUUCAAGUAUGUAUUGGUGUGUUCUCGAGCAGACAAUGAAUUACAGAGGUGGAUUAUAACGGUAGAAUGAAUAAUUUUGAGAAGAUCAAACAGCCAAGGAAGAUAUUAUCUCCAGUUUCAAUGGGUUUAAACUUUUGACACAUUCAUAUCAAAUCCAAGAGAUACUCAAGGCAAUGACAGGUAAAAAAAAUCAGUGUCUUCCUUGAAUCCUAUUCCCAAGAUCCUGCUUGCAGAGAUGAAGGAAGAAUAUGAUGCCAUAUAGUAGAUGUUAAGAAAACAACAAUUGGAAUCUACUGAAAGAAAACCAAAAUAGAUAUAGAAUCAGUGAAGAAUUCUUAAGCAUUGUUCCAUGCACAAAUAUUGCAGUAACUUGCAGGAGAAAAGGAUUCAUCAUCUCUACUAUUGCCGGUCUCUAAAAAUGGUCAACUUCUGAUUCAAAGGUCACCUUUUUUCGUCAGCUAUGUUUAACAUCAUUAUUACUAUGUUAACCUUAAUGGAAGCCACCUAUUUGAAAUAUUGCCCUAAAGAUAAUAGAAGCAUUAUAGAGGAGAAAUAGAAGAGGAAUACAGUGAUGUAUGCAGUCCUAUACAUUAAAAGCAAUUAGAUAAAGUUUGUGAAUGUGCUAGAAAAAUAAAGGAUGAAUUAUUGUUGUGCUUUUAUUCUGAUACAA